UACGGAGGGUGCGAGCGUUAAUCGGAAUUACUGGGCGUAAAGCGCGCGUAGGCGGUGAGAUGAGUCUGAUGUGAAAGCCCUGGGCUUAACCUGGGAAUGGCAUGAGAUACUGUUUUACUAGAGUGUGGGAGAGGGGUGUGGAAUUUCCGGUGUAGCAGUGAAAUGCGUAGAGAUCGGAAGGAACACCAGUGGCGAAGGCGGCACCCUGGACCAACACUGACGCUGAGGUGCGAAAGCGUGGGGAG
rnacentral:rRNA from 1 species